rnacentral:rRNA from 1 species
UAGGGAAUAUUAGUUAAUGUGCGAAAGCGCGAACUAGCAACGCCGCGUGUGCGAUGAAGGUCUUCGGAUCGUAAAGCACUUUUCGAGAAGAUGAGGAAGGACAGUACUCUCGGAAUAAGUCUCGGCUAACUACGUGCCAGCAGCCGCGGUAAAACGUAGGAGGCAAGCGUUAUCCGGGUUUACUGGGCGUAAAGCGCCUGUAGGUGGACGAACAAGUCGGCUGUGAAAGCCCUGGGCUUAACCCGGGGAGGCCAGGCGAUACUGUUCGACUUGAGGGUGACAGAGGGGAGUGGAAUUCCCGGUGUAGCGGUAAAAUGCGCAGAUAUCGGGAGGAACACCAGUGGCGAAGGCGGCUCCCUGGGUCAUACCUGACACUGAGAGGCUAAAGCUAGGGGAGCGAACAG